rnacentral:rRNA from 1 species
AUACGGAGGGUGCAAGCGUUACUCGGAAUCACUGGGCGUAAAGCGCGCGCAGGCGGCUAUUUAAGUUGGAUGUGAAAGCCUAUGGCUCAACCAUAGAACUGCAUCCAAAACUAUUUAGCUAGAGUGUGGGAGAGGAAGAUGGAAUUAGUUGUGUAGGGGUAAAACCCGUAGAGAUAACUAGGAAUACCAAAAGCGAAGGCAAUCUUCUGGAACACUACUGACGCUGAGGCGCGAAAGCGUGGGGGGCAAACAGGAUUAGAAACCCUAGUAGUCC